AUGAAAGGGAAAGAAACAAGACCUAGAGCAUCUAAGCCGCGUCACGAACAAAGUCGGGCACCAGCGUCACACGGCCAUGCCAUCAGGACGGAGCAAAUCAAUGUACCCCCCACCUUGAAGCGCCAAGAAGAGUCGACAAGUGGGUUGCAGGAUCGGACCAGCCUGAGGAAGAAGCCAUGGAAGAAGCGCCGGCGAUAUUGUACAUUGUGCCUCGGAUGUCCAUAUCUUGAAAAGCAGCCCAAAACCAAGCAGGGUGUCCAACAUCACCAAUUUCAACACCGAAGACACCACGAGCAACCAAGACGACACCUUCAUGAAGGGGGACGACAUCGGGACGCCGCCGCUGUCUGGUCUGGAGAACCGGACCAAGGGUUUCCCCCAGUGCUCGAAGGAGGACAAGUCUUGAAGAAGGAGACGGCAUCCGCAGAUGUCGCCGCUACCAGCACCGGCAAGUCGAGCAAGGAUUUUGUCCCGGCCUUUGACCGAAUCACCCCAAAUGUCGUCAGAUCAGGAAUCGAAGACAAGGAAACCAUGUAG
rnacentral:rRNA from 1 species